UAAAAUUGCUAUGACAAAACAUCCCG
rnacentral:piRNA from 1 species